AGGCCAGUAGCUCGAAUUGGUAGAGCGGCAGACUCCAAAUCUGAUGGUUGGGGGUUCGAGUCCCUCCUGGCCUGCCA
rnacentral:tRNA from 2 species